rnacentral:rRNA from 1 species
CAGCACGGACUUCGGUCUGCGGCGAGUGGCGAACGGGUGAGUAAUGUAUCGAACGUGCCUAGUAGCGGGGGAUAACUACGCGAAAGCGUAGCUAAUACCGCAUACGCCCUUCGGGGGAAAGCGGGGGGACCUCGGGCCUCGCACUAUUAGAGCGGCCGAUAUCGGAUUAGCUAGUUGGUGGGGUAACGGCUCACCAAGGCGACGAUCCGUAGCUGGUUUGAGAGGACGACCAGCCACACUGGGACUGAGACACGGCCCAGACUCCUACGGGAGGCAGCAGUGGGGAAUUUUUUGACAAUGGGGGUCUCGAUCCAGCCAUCCCGCGUGUGCGAUGAAGGCCUUUGGGUUGUAAAGCACUUUUGGCAGGAAAGAAACGGCACGGAUAAUACCCCGCAACUGACGGUACCUGCAGAAUAAGCACCGGCUAACUACGUGCCAGCAGCCGCGGUAAUACGUAGGUGCAAGUGUUAAUCGAAUACUGGGGCGGUAAAGCGUGCGUAUGGUUCGGAAAAAGAAAGAUGUGAAAUCCCGAGCUUAACUUUGGAACUGCAUUUUUAACUACCGAGCUAGAGGUGUCAGGAGGGAGGUGGAAUUCCGCGUGUAGCAGUGAAAUGCGUAGAUAUGCGGAGGAAUUAUCGACGGCGAAGGCAGCCUUCCUGGGAUAACACUGACGCUCAUGCACGAAAGCGUGGGGAGCAACAGGAUUAGAUACCCUGGUAGUCCACGCCCUAAACGAUGUCAACUAGCUGUUGGGGCCUUCGGGCCUUGGUAGCGCAGCUAACGGGCAAGUUGACCGCCGGGGAGUACGGUCGCAGAUUAAAACUCAAAGGAAUUGACGGGGACUCGCACAAGCGGUGGAUGAUGUGGAUUAAUUCGAUGCAACGCGAAAAACCUUACCUACCCUUGACAUGUCUGAAUCCCGAAGAGAUUUGGGAGUGCUCGCAAGAGAACUCGAACACAGGUGCUGUGUAUGGCUGUCGCUGCCUGUGUCGAGAUGUUGGGUUAAGUCCCGCAACGAAAGCGCAACCUCGGUUGAAUAGUUGCUACGAAAGGGCACUCUAAUGAGACUGCCGGUGACAAACCGGAGGAAGGUGGGGAUGACGUCAAGUCCUCAUGGCCCUUAUGGGUAGGGCUUCACACGUCAUACAAUGGUCGGGACAGAGGGUCGCCAACCCGCGAGGGGGAGCCAAUCCCAGAAACCCGAUCGUAGUCCGAUCGCAGUCUGCAACUCGACUGCGUGAAGCUCGGAAUCGCUAGUAAUCGCAUUCUCCAGUAUGUCGCGGUGAAUACGUUCCCGGUCUUGUACACACCGCCCGUCACACCAUGGGAGUGGGUUUUUACCAGAAGUAGUUAGCCUAACCGUAAGGAGGGCGAUUACCACGGUAGGAUUCAUGACUGGGGUGAAGUCGUAACAAGGUAG